ACCCUGCUGGCGCAAUGGUAGCGCGCAAGACUUCUAUCAGUCCAAGUCUGAAAGCUGUAAUCUUGAGGCUGUGGGUUCGAGUCCCACGUGGGGUG